rnacentral:rRNA from 1 species
AUUGAACGCUGGCGGCAUGCUUUACACAUGCAAGUCGAACGGCAGCGCGGGCUUCGGCCUGGCGGCGAGUGGCGAACGGGUGAGUAAUACAUCGGAACGUGCCCAGUAGUGGGGGAUAGCUCGGCGAAAGCCGGAUUAAUACCGCAUACGACCUGAGGGUGAAAGCGGGGGAUCUUCGGACCUCGCGCCUUUUGAGCGGGCGAUGGCAGAUUAGCUAGUUGGUGGGGUAAAGGCCUACCAAGGCGACGAUCCGUAGCUGGUCUGAAAGGACGACCAGCCACACGGGGACUGAGACACGGCCCAGACUCCUACGGGAGGCAGCAGUGGGGAAUUUUGGACAAUGGGCGAAAGCCUGAUCCAGCAAUGCCGCGUGUGUGAUGAAGGCCUUCGGGUUGUAAAGCACUUUUGGCGGGAACGAAAAAGACUGUGCCAAUACCACGGUUCGAUGACGGUACCCGCAGAAUAAGCACCGGCUAACUACGUG